rnacentral:rRNA from 1 species
UCACUAAGCGGAGGAAAAGAAACUAACCAGGAUUCCCCUAGUAACGGCGAGUAAGAGGGAAUAGCCCAGAUCAGGGAAGCCUGCGGUAGGUUUACUGCUAGGCAAUGUGGUGUUUGGGUCGACUCGCGGGACUGCCACUUCACUCGAAGUCCAACACUGAGUAUGGUUCCCUGGAUUUGGCCCAAAGAGGGUGAAAGACCGUGCGAGUGGAGGCCUCAGACAUGUGAGGCAGUUCACCAGGUGCACCUUC